rnacentral:tRNA from 1 species
CGACGCCUUCGCCGGCGGCGGCCGCGGCUUCCCCGGUCGCGGCGGCGGCCGUCGCGGUCCCGGCGGCGCGGGUCGCGGCCGCGGCGCCGAC